UGGUGGAGUGAUUUGUCUGGUUAAUUCCGAUAACGAACGAGACCUCAGCCUACUAAAUAGUUAUGUUAACCUUCUAUUCGGGUGAAGUUUGGCACCAUGAGUUAGGUUUCGGCUUGGCUCUCUUGCCAGAUGGAUCCUUGAUGAGUUAACAGAUAUACUUCUUAGAGGGACUAUUCAUGUUUAGUGAAUGGAAGUUUGAGGCAAUAACA
rnacentral:rRNA from 1 species